rnacentral:rRNA from 1 species
CAGUAGCCGCGGUAAAACGGAGGGGGCUAGCGUUGUUCGGAAUUACUGGGCGUAAAGCGCACGUAGGCGGCUUGGUAAGUUAGAGGUGAAAGCCUGGAGCUCAACUCCAGAAUUGCCUUUAAGACUGCCGAGCUAGCAGGUGAGAGAGGUAAGUGGAAUUCCGAGUGUAGAGGUGAAAUUCGUAGAUAUUCGGAAGAACACCAGUGGCGAAGGCGGCUUACUGGCUCAUACUGGACGCUGAGGUGCGAAAGCGUGGGGAGCAAACAGGAUUAGAUACCCCCGUAGUCCCUGUCUCUUAUAA